UACGUAGGGGGCAAGCGUUGUCCGGAAUUAUUGGGCGUAAAGAGCGUGUAGGCGGUCCGGUCAGUCAGCUGUGAAAGUCAAGGGCUCAACCCUUGAAUGCCGGUUGAUACUGUCGGGCUAGAGUCCGGAAGAGGCGAGUGGAAUUCCCGGUGUAGCGGUGAAAUGCGUAGAUAUGCGGAGGAACACCGAUGGCGAAGGCAAUCCCCUGGACCUGUACUGACGCUCAUGCACGAAAGCGUGGGGAGCAAACAGG
rnacentral:rRNA from 1 species